rnacentral:rRNA from 1 species
UACGGAUGGUGCAAGCGUUAUCCGGAUUCACUGGGUUUAAAGGGUGCGUAGGCGGAUUGGUAAGUCCGUGGUGAAAUCUCUAAGCUUAACUUGGAAACUGCCAUGGAUACUAUUAGUCUUGAAUAUUGUGGAGGUUAGCGGAAUAUGUCAUGUAGCGGUGAAAUGCAUAGAUAUGACAUAGAACACCAAUUGCGAAGGCAGCUGGCUACACAAAUAUUGACGCUGAUGCACGAAAGCGUGGGGAUCAAACAGG